rnacentral:rRNA from 1 species
AUUGAACGCUGGCGGCAGGCCUAACACAUGCAAGUCGAGCGGAUGCAGGAAGCUUGCUCCUGGAUUCCGCGGCGGACGGGUGCGUAAUGCCUAGGAAUCUGCCUGGUAGUGGGGGAUGACGUCCGGAACCGGGCGUUAAUACCGCAUACGUCCUGAGGGGGAAAGUGGGGGAUCUUCGGACCUCACGCUAUCAGCUUAGCCUAGGUCGGAUUAGCUAGUUGGUGGGGUAAAGGCCUACCAAGGCGACGAUCCGUAACUGGUCUGAGAGGAUGAUCAGUCACACUGGAACUGAGACACGGUCCAGACUCCUACGGGAGGCAGCAGUGGGGAAUAUUGGACAAUGGGCGAAAGCCUGAUCCAGCCAUGCCGCGUGUGUGAAGAAGGUCUUCGGAUUGUAAAGCACUUUAAGUUGGGAGGAAGGGCAGUAAGUUAAUACCUUGCUGUUUUGACGUUACCAACAGAAUAAGCACCGGCUAACUUCGUG